rnacentral:rRNA from 1 species
UUGCGGCGUGCUUAACACAUGCAAGUCGAACGAUGAAGCCCAGCUUGCUGGGUGGAUUAGUGGCGAACGGGUGAGUAACACGUGAGUAACCUGCCCUUGACUCUGGGAUAAGCGCUGGAAACGGCGUCUAAUACCGGAUACGACCUACCCCGGCAUCGGGUGUGGGUGGAAAGUUUUUCGGUCAAGGAUGGACUCGCGGCCUAUCAGCUUGUUGGUGAGGUAAUGGCUCACCAAGGCGACGACGGGUAGCCGGCCUGAGAGGGUGACCGGCCACACUGGGACUGAGACACGGCCCAGACUCCUACGGGAGGCAGCAGUGGGGAAUAUUGCACAAUGGGCGAAAGCCUGAUGCAGCAACGCCGCGUGAGGGAUGACGGCCUUCGGGUUGUAAACCUCUUUUAGUAGGGAAGAAGGGCUUCGGCUUGACGGUACCUGCAGAAAAAGCACCGGCUAACUACGUGCCAGCAGCCGCGGUAAUACGUAGGGUGCAAGCGUUGUCCGGAAUUAUUGGGCGUAAAGAGCUCGUAGGCGGUUUGUCGCGUCUGCUGUGAAAACCCGAGGCUCAACCUCGGGCCUGCAGUGGGUACGGGCAGACUAGAGUGCGGUAGGGGAGAAUGGAAUUCCUGGUGUAGCGGUGGAAUGCGCAGAUAUCAGGAGGAACACCGAUGGCGAAGGCAGUUCUCUGGGCCGUAACUGACGCUGAGGAGCGAAAGCGUGGGGAGCGAACAGGAUUAGAUACCCUGGUAGUCCACGCCGUAAACGUUGGGCGCUAGAUGUGGGGACCUUUCCACGGUUUCCGUGUCGCAGCUAACGCAUUAAGCGCCCCGCCUGGGGAGUACGGCCGCAAGGCUAAGACUCAAAGGAAUUGACGGGGGCCCGCACAAGCGGCGGAGCAUGCGGAUUAAUUCGAUGCAACGCGAAGAACCUUACCAAGGCUUGACAUAUACGAGAACGGGCCAGAAAUGGUCAACUCUUUGGACACUCGUAAACAGGUGGUGCACGGUUGUCGUCAGCUCGUGUCGUGAGAUGUUGGGUUAAGUCCCGCAACGAGCGCAACCCUCGUUCUAUGUUGCCAGCACGUUAUGGUGGGAACUCAUAGGAGACUGCCGGGGUCAACUCGGAGGAAGGUGGGGAUGACGUCAAAUCAUCAUGCCCCUUAUGUCUUGGGCUUCACGCAUGCUACAAUGGCCGGUACAAAGGGCUGCGAUACCGUAAGGUGGAGCGAAUCCCAAAAAGCCGGUCUCAGUUCGGAUUGAGGUCUGCAACUCGACCUCAUGAAGUCGGAGUCGCUAGUAAUCGCAGAUCAGCAACGCUGCGGUGAAUACGUUCCCGGGCCUUGUACACACCGCCCGUCAAGUCAUGAAAGUCGGUAACACCCGAAGCCGGUGGCCUAACCUUUUGGAGGGAGCCGUCGAAGGUGGGAUCGGUGAUUAGGACUAAG